CCUACGGGUGGCAGCAGUGGGGAAUAUUGGACAAUGGGGGCAACCCUGAUCCAGCCAUGCCGCGUGUGUGAAGAAGGCCCUCGGGUUGUAAAGCACUUUCAGUGAGGAAGAACGCCUGGUGGUUAAUACCCAUCAGGAAAGACAUCACUCACAGAAGAAGCACCGGCUAACUCCGUGCCAGCAGCCGCGGUAAUACGGAGGGUGCGAGCGUUAAUCGGAAUUACUGGGCGUAAAGCGCGCGUAGGUGGCUUGAUAGGCCGGUUGUGAAAGCCCCGGGCUCAACCUGGGAACGGCAUCCGGAACUGUCAAGCUAGGGUGCAGGAGAGGAAGGUAGAAUUCCCGGUGUAGCGGUGAAAUGCGCAGAGAUCGGGAGGAAUACCAGUGGCGAAGGCGGCCUUCUGGACUGACACUGACGCUGAGGUGCGAAAGCGGGGGUAGCGAACAGGAUUAGAUACCCUUGUAGUC
rnacentral:rRNA from 1 species